rnacentral:lncRNA from 1 species
ACCGAAUGAAUUUCACAAAAUAAAACUGCUUUAUUUCACAAGAUGAACAGAUUACACACUAACGAAUUACACAAUCUACACACAGACGGAUUACACACAUUACAAGAGAAUUGAGGCAACCAUGGACGCCCGAGUAGCUUAGGCCGUCCGCCGCCGCGUCGGAGGUUGCCAACCUCAUCCGGAAGAUGGUGCGGCAUCGAGGGGCGGGGCUGGGGGAGGCAUGCUAGGGCGACGGGCUGGGGCCGACGACCGGCGGUGACGAAGUGGGACGGGGCCGGGCCCGGCGGCACCGGUGGCGAAGACAGAAGGGCCGCAACCGGCGGGGGCAACGAGGGACGGGGCCGGCGGCCGGCGGUGACGAAGUGGGACGGGGUCGGGCCCAGCGGCACCGGUGGUGAAGACGGAAGGGCCGCAGCCGGCGGGGGCGAUGAGGGACGGGGCCGGAUGCCAGCUGGGGAUGGGGCGCGGAGGUCGGCCGGGGCGACGGAGCCGGGCCGAUGGUCGGCCAAGGCGAAGGGGAACGGGGCCAGUGGAUCUCGAGGCAAAUAGGGAAGGGCCGAGGACGGCGGGCGUGGCCGCGGCCAGUGAGGCCGGAGCCGGCAGGAGAGGUGGAGGCCGGAGCCGGCAAGAGAGGUGGCGGCCGACGUGGGCAGGGCCGGCAGGCGAGGUGGUCGCCGGUGUGGGCAAGGCUGCCAGGCGAGGUGGUGGCUUCUCUGGAUCGAGAGCAGAGGAGGUACGAGAGAUCGUGGUGGGGGAGGGUGGGCUGUUGGGAGGAUAAGGUGGAGAGAGAGAUCGUGGUGGGGGAGGGUGGGCUGUUGGGAGGAUAAGGUGGAGAGAGAGAGAGAG